AUUGAACGCUGGCGGCAUGCUUUACACAUGCAAGUCGAACGGCAGCGCGGGCUUCGGCCUGGCGGCGAGUGGCGAACGGGUGAGUAAUGCAUCGGAACGUGCCCAGCAGUGGGGGAUAGCCCGGCGAAAGCCGGCUUAAUACCGCAUACGACCUGAGGGUGAAAGCGGGGGACCGAAAGGCCUCGCGCUAUUUGCGCGGCCGAUGUCGGAUUAGCUAGUUGGUGGGGUAAAGGCUUACCAAGGCGACGAUCCGUAGCUGGUCUGAGAGGACGACCAGCCACACUGGGACUGAGACACGGCCCAGACUCCUACGGGAGGCAGCAGUGGGGAAUUUUGGACAAUGGGGGCAACCCUGAUCCAGCCAUGCCGCGUGCGGGAAGAAGGCCUUCGGGUUGUAAACCGCUUUUGUUCGGGAAGAAAUCCUCUGGGCUAAUACCCCGGGGGGAUGACGGUACCGGAAGAAUAAGCACCGGCUAACUACGUG
rnacentral:rRNA from 1 species